AUGCACAAAUCAUUGUCCUGCUCUUCUCUUUAUUGAGAGUAGUGAUAUUUCUGUUGUGCUAGAAAACAUUUGGAGGUAAAUUAACAGAGUGGCUACUUGGUGCCACAUCUGCCAGUCCCCUUCACACAAUU